rnacentral:rRNA from 1 species
CCUACGGGCGGCAGCAGUGAGGAAUAUUGGUCAAUGGGCUUACGCCUGAACCAGCCAAGUCGCGUGAGGGAAGACUGCCCUAUGGGUUGUAAACCUCUUUUGUCAGGGAGCAAUUGGCGCUACGUGUAGCGUUAUCGAGAGUACCUGAAGAAAAAGCAUCGGCUAACUCCGUGCCAGCAGCCGCGGUAAUACGGAGGAUGCGAGCGUUAUCCGGAUUUAUUGGGUCUAAAGGGUGCGUAGGCGGAAUGCCAAGUCAGCGGUAAAAUCGCGGGGCUCAACCUCGCUCCGCCGUUGAAACUGGCGGUCUUGAGUGUGCGAGAAGUAUGCGGAAUGCGUGGUGUAGCAGUGAAAUGCAUAGAUAUCACGCAGAACUCCGAUUGCGAAGGCAGCAUACCGGCGCCCAACUGACGCUGAAGCACGAAAGCGUGGGUAUCGAACAGGAUUAGAUACCCUUGUAGUC